rnacentral:misc_RNA from 1 species
AAAGUCGUAACAAGGUUUCCGUAGGUGAACCUGCGGAAGGAUCAUUAGUGAAUAAACAGUGCAGGUUGUGCUGGCCUUCUUGGUAUGUGCACGCCUGCCAAUGUUUCAUUCUAUCUUCCACCUGUGCACUCUGUGUAGAUUCUGUAUGCUUCUGUCAGGCUUUUAUUGGGCUUGGUUGAGAGGAGUUGCUUGCUUUCCGCAAGCUCUUCUUGGGCAUGCAGGUCUAUGUUUUAUAUCAACACCAUAUGAAUGUUAUAGAAUGUGCUUUGGGCUUUUUAGCCUUUAAAUCAUAUACAACUUUCAACAACGGAUCUCUUGGCUCUC